rnacentral:rRNA from 1 species
GGGUUGUGAGGUUAAGCGACUAAGCGUACACGGUGGAUGCCCUGGCAGUCAGAGGCGAUGAAGGACGUGCUAAUCUGCGAAAAGCGUCGGUAAGGUGAUAUGAACCGUUAUAACCGGCGAUGUCCGAAUGGGGAAACCCAGUGCAAUUCGUUGCACUAUCGUUAACUGAAUACAUAGGUUAACGAGGCGAACCGGGGGAACUGAAACAUCUAAGUACCCCGAGGAAAAGAAAUCAACCGAGAUUCCCCCAGUAGCGGCGAGCGAACGGGGAGCAGCCCAGAGUCUGAAUCAGCUUGUGUGUUAGUGGAACGGUCUGGAAAGUCCGACGGUACAGGGUGAUAGUCCCGUACACCAAAAUGCACAGGCUGUGAACUCGAAGAGUAGGGCGGGACACGUGGUAUCCUGUCUGAAUAUGGGGGGACCAUCCUCCAAGGCUAAAUACUCCUGACUGACCGAUAGUGAACCAGUACCGUGAGGGAAAGGCGAAAAGAACCCCGGCGAGGGGAGUGAAAAAGAACCUGAAACCGUGUACGUACAAGCAGUGGGAGCACCUUCGUGGUGUGACUGCGUACCUUUUGUAUAAUGGGUCAGCGACUUAUAUUCUGUAGCAAGGUUAACCGUAUAGGGGAGCCGCAGGGAAACCGAGUCUUAACUGGGCGUUAAGUUGCAGGGUAUAGACCCGAAACCCGGUGAUCUAGCCAUGGGCAGGUUGAAGGUUGGGUAACACUAACUGGAGGACCGAACCGACUAAUGUUGAAAAAUUAGCGGAUGACUUGUGGCUGGGGGUGAAAGGCCAAUCAAACCGGGAGAUAGCUGGUUCUCCCCGAAAGCUAUUUAGGUAGCGCCUCGUGAACUCAUCUUCGGGGGUAGAGCACUGUUUCGGCUAGGGGGUCAUCCCGACUUACCAACCCGAUGCAAACUACGAAUACCGAAGAAUGUUAUCACGGGAGACACACGGCGGGUGCUAACGUCCGUCGUGAAGAGGGAAACAACCCAGACCGCCAGCUAAGGUCCCAAAGUCAUGGUUAAGUGGGAAACGAUGUGGGAAGGCACAGACAGCCAGGAUGUUGGCUUAGAAGCAGCCAUCAUUUAAAGAAAGCGUAAUAGCUCACUGGUCGAGUCGGCCUGCGCGGAAGAUGUAACGGGGCUAAACCAUGCACCGAAGCUGCGGCAGCGACACUAUGUGUUGUUGGGUAGGGGAGCGUUCUGUAAGCCUGCGAAGGUGACCUGUGAGGGUUGCUGGAGGUAUCAGAAGUGCGAAUGCUGACAUAAGUAACGAUAAAGCGGGUGAAAAGCCCGCUCGCCGGAAGACCAAGGGUUCCUGUCCAACGUUAAUCGGGGCAGGGUGAGUCGACCCCUAAGGCGAGGCCGAAAGGCGUAGUCGAUGGGAAACAGGUUAAUAUUCCUGUACUUGGUGUUACUGCGAAGGGGGGACGGAGAAGGCUAUGUUAGCCGGGCGACGGUUGUCCCGGUUUAAGCAUGUAGGCUGGUUAUCCAGGCAAAUCCGGAUAAUCAAGGCUGAGGUGUGAUGACGAGGCACUACGGUGCUGAAGUAACAAAUGCCCUGCUUCCAGGAAAAGCCUCUAAGCAUCAGGUAACAUCAAAUCGUACCCCAAACCGACACAGGUGGUCAGGUAGAGAAUACCAAGGCGCUUGAGAGAACUCGGGUGAAGGAACUAGGCAAAAUGGUGCCGUAACUUCGGGAGAAGGCACGCUGGUGUGUAGGUGAAGUCCCUGCGGAUGGAGCUGAGACCAGUCGAAGAUACCAGCUGGCUGCAACUGUUUAUUAAAAACACAGCACUGUGCAAACACGAAAGUGGACGUAUACGGUGUGACGCCUGCCCGGUGCCGGAAGGUUAAUUGAUGGGGUUAUCCGUAAGGAGAAGCUCUUGAUCGAAGCCCCGGUAAACGGCGGCCGUAACUAUAACGGUCCUAAGGUAGCGAAAUUCCUUGUCGGGUAAGUUCCGACCUGCACGAAUGGCGUAAUGAUGGCCAGGCUGUCUCCACCCGAGACUCAGUGAAAUUGAACUCGCUGUGAAGAUGCAGUGUACCCGCGGCAAGACGGAAAGACCCCGUGAACCUUUACUAUAGCUUGACACUGAACAUUGAGCCUUGAUGUGUAGGAUAGGUGGGAGGCUUUGAAGCGUGGACGCCAGUCUGCGUGGAGCCAACCUUGAAAUACCACCCUUUAAUGUUUGAUGUUCUAACGUUGGCCCCUGACCGGGGUUGCGGACAGUGUCUGGUGGGUAGUUUGACUGGGGCGGUCUCCUCCCAAAGCGUAACGGAGGAGCACGAAGGUUAGCUAAUCCUGGUCGGACAUCAGGAGGUUAGUGCAAUGGCAUAAGCUAGCUUGACUGCGAGCGUGACGGCGCGAGCAGGUGCGAAAGCAGGUCAUAGUGAUCCGGUGGUUCUGAAUGGAAGGGCCAUCGCUCAACGGAUAAAAGGUACUCCGGGGAUAACAGGCUGAUACCGCCCAAGAGUUCAUAUCGACGGCGGUGUUUGGCACCUCGAUGUCGGCUCAUCACAUCCUGGGGCUGAAGUAGGUCCCAAGGGUAUGGCUGUUCGCCAUUUAAAGUGGUACGCGAGCUGGGUUUAGAACGUCGUGAGACAGUUCGGUCCCUAUCUGCCGUGGGCGCUGGAGAAUUGAGGGGGGCUGCUCCUAGUACGAGAGGACCGGAGUGGACGCAUCACUGGUGUUCGGGUUGUCAUGCCAAUGGCACUGCCCGGUAGCUAAAUGCGGAAGAGAUAAGUGCUGAAAGCAUCUAAGCACGAAACUUGCCCCGAGAUGAGUUCUCCCUGAGACUUUAAGUCUCCUGAAGGAACGUUAAAGACGAUGACGUUGAUAGGCCGGGUGUGUAAGCGCAGCGAUGCGUUGAGCUAACCGGUACUAAUGAACCGUGAGGCUUAACCUUACAACGCCGAAG